GCAUAAAAUUUAAAUAUUCUAUUGAAUAUGAGUAAGAAAAGGUAACACGAAUUAUGAAGAUUUGCAAAAUUGCGAAUGCACCUAUACAGUUAUAAUGGAAGUUUUCUCGCCAAAAUGAACCCCGUCUUCCAACAAAAAUAAAAUAAAAGAAUAAAAGAAUAAGAAUUUAAAUUUACAAUUUGUGACCCAAUCAUCUCAUUUGAGCAUUGGGUCAACACACAUACAAACUAUUGAUCACGUCUAUUAAAUCAAUCCCCGUUUUAGGUAAAACUUAUUUCCUAUCAGAACUGGGGGAAUCUAUAACCUCCUCAACUUGCAAAUGUCCUGACAAGACACAAAGUGAUUCAUUUAAAAGGAGAAGAGAAAAUACUACCAUGUAUGUGUAGUAUUAUAAAGGCAUUGGAGAGUAGCAUGCCUCAAAGCAUAUCCAAUAAAGAACAAAAACGUACACUAAAUUCCACAUCCGCUCUUCCACUGUUUGCAUCUGCAUGUUACCAAUAAACCUAACAAAAAGAUAAAUAUGUUAGAGCAGGGAACACACAUAUACGGGUGCAGAUUACACCCCCUACAUAAGGUUCUUUUACAGCAAAAAUAGAAGGAAAAACUGCCUGAGAAACAAGCAUAGCCUCCUAGGUAAAAACAAAGGCAGAAAAAAGUUUUUAUAAACAUUUAUUUAGCUUACACAUUACCUUGCACGGUAAGAGGCACUUGCCUAAAGUCAACAAUUGAACCAAGCCAUUCUUUGAAAUCCACAUUCCUAUGCCAUCUGAACCCCUCACUUUAGGGAAGAAAGGAAGAGAAGAAAAUAGACUUUAGGAAAAUAUGGAUACUUGCAUUUCUUAAAAAGUAUUUGGAAAUUCAAAGGGUUUUAUAUUUUAGUAAUAUUUAUUUUCUUUUUCAAAACCGCAUUUCAACUCCAAUUUUGUAUGCAAAGUAGAAGAUCCAUAAGUUAUCCCAAUUCUGAUAUCCAAAAUAUCAAUCAUUGUCCCAUUUCUGAUUUCCAAAAGUGAUUCAUAUAUUUUGCAAACUAAACUAUUUCCUACUUUCUAAUACAAACUAAACUAUUUCCUACUUUCUAAUACAUGCAUAGAUGCAAUCUUUAUCUAAAAAUUAACUCACGAUUUGUUGAAUUUUCAAUAUAAUGAGUUGCCUCAUUAAGAAUUAUCACGAUAAUUUGGGCACAAAAGGAAAACAUCCAGACAACAAUGGAGAGUGAGAAGAAGAUGGAGAGAGAAGUAGAGAAACAGGAGAGAGAAGAGCAACAAAAGACAAUGGCAGUGGAAUUGCCAAUACCCAUAGUAUUUGCAAUUGCAAUCUGAUUGUAACCCAAUUGCAGGAUUAACCAAACGUGUUCUCUGCUUUUUCUCUCACUAUGUCCAAUUGCAUGCAUAUGCAUUUGUGAAUAUAUAUAUAGGUAUGUAUGCAUGCAUAUAUAUAGACACGGAGGGAGGGAGAAAGCGAGAGAUAGCUUCUUCUUCCCUUCUAUUGGGUGUGAAGGAUGAUGUGGGAUAAACGUACGAGUAAAGGUAGUGUCAAAAGGAUAGAAAGUAGGCUUCUAAAUUGAUUUUAUAUGAAUUAGGAAUAAAUUAAGUUCAAAAGCUUAACAGAUGCAUUUGUAUAUGGCCAUAUUUUCAGACAAAUAAUUUCAAUAAAUAGUGUAGAAAAAUUAGAUUCUUGACUUUUGUUUUGGAUUAAGAAUUUUAAGAGAGAUUUGUAGGGGAAAAGAGAGUAUGAGGAAUUGUUUUCCAUUCUUUGUUGGUAAUUAUCCAUUCGCAAAUCUUUAAUCUAAAUACAGUCUUUGGUAUAACUUAGAAUACACCAAGUGAUGUUAUAUGACCACCAUUAACAAUACCCUAACGUUAAAUUUACACUCUAUAUUUGCGUUAUGACUAAUUUUUUGUGAUUUUGUUGUGUAAAACAACUUUAAAAAAAAUAAUAAUGCUUUGUAAUAUUAUGGAUAUGUGAAGUGAUUUAUCAAGAGAAAGGAACUAAGAGAGAAACUAACAGAAUAAAUUUUACUUUUUUGCUUGAUUAUUUCUCUGAUUUUUCUCUAUCUUUACUUUCUUUCCAAAAAAACUCUACAAAUUCAUGGAGUACAUUUGUUUAGUUUCUUUCCAAAAAUUUCAAAUAUGUACACAAUACAAAGUACAAAUUUACCAAAUAGCCCAAGUGAAAAAGAAAAAUUUGACUUGAAAUAUAAAGUGAUUGUAAUUAACAACCAUAUUAAUAGGUUAACAACAUAAUAUGUAUAGUAUAUUAAGAAAAGUGAUUUUCAAAGUUUGAAAAUGAACAUUAAUCAAAUCCAAACAUGUCAAUUCAUUCAAUCUACAUAUAUAUAUAUAUUUUUGCAUUGUAUUCUUAAGAUAACUAUGAAAAUUUUUGCUACAUAUAGGUUUCUAUUUAAAUUCAGAGAGCAUAGACCAUAAUAAAUGGCUUUAUUUGCUGGGAACUUCGUAAUGGGCCCUGGCACAAAAAAAAUAUCGUCACCUUCAUAAACAUA
rnacentral:lncRNA from 1 species